UACGUAGGGGGCAAGCGUUGUCCGGAUUUAUUGGGCGUAAAGAGCGUGUAGGCGGUUUGGUAGGUCCGCUGUGAAAACUCGAGGCUCAACCUCGAGACGCCGGUGGAAACCAUCAGACUAGAGUCCGGAAGAGGAGAGUGGAAUUCCUGGUGUAGCGGUGAAAUGCGCAGAUAUCAGGAAGAACACCCGUGGCUAAGGCGGCUCUCUAGUACGGUACUGACGCUGAGACGCGAAAGCGUGGGAGCGAACAGG
rnacentral:rRNA from 1 species